ACAGUGGUUGUAUUCAAACCGAUUCAUCAUCAUUGCUUCGGUGGUUCUUUGUUGCUUCAUCGGCUCUUCGUUGAUUCGGUGGUCGUCAUCGUAUUCAGGGAUGGAAACUCAAAGGAGCACGAUCAUCCAAAAAUGGAUACUUCACACAAGAUCAUUGAUCCAUAUUAGAAACAUUGGAUUACGUUGCUUCUACCGGUGUGUCGUUGGUUGGCUCUCUCAUGUUAAAUUAUUUAUUUAUUUAUUUUUGGGUUAGCUAGAGUGAUUCUUUUGUAUCAAAAUGUUCACUGACCUGCAUUUGAAGGAAUUUAAACCUGAUAAAGCAAAAGGUUUACCAGUUAUGAUACUAAUUCAAUAACAUUCUUUUAUUGAAAGUUAUCCCAUUAUGGCGUGGAUAAAAAUCUAAAAUUUGCUAUUUGGACUUUAAAUUUAGCAAAUAUUUCUAAAUUCUUUGCAUAUGCUACAUUCAAAUAUAUAAUUCAUUUUUUGGACUUUCAUUUUGAAAUUUAUAAAUGCUUUUGCUUAUUCAAUAUGUAGAAGCAAUUUCAGUUUCUUACAUGUGAAGUUUUAAGUCGGAAUGAUAUAACCAUUUUGAAUUUGAUUUAUUACCAUUGAAUUUCGUAGCACGUGAUACUAAAAAAAUUAUUAGCAGUGCCUUCAGGCACGGGU